ACAACAAAACACAUGAAAUAACAGAAGCCGGUGUUACUUACAGAUGCCAGAGAGAAGAGGGCAGCCCGCCUUGCAGGCCAACAGGAAGCGGGAGCCAUCUGGAACCUAUGUGCUCAACCGACAAACAUACUGCGGCUCACGGAGGUUAAGGAACUUGCCCAGGCCACACAGCUGGUAAGUGGCAGAGCCAAGAUUCAGACCUAGGUCUGUAUGACUACAAUUCAAUCUUUUCAUAACUCAAUCUUCCUCUGGUUUACUUUUAAAAUAUAAAUACUUGAAAUUCUCAUUAAAAACUGACAUCUGGGUUCACACAAAGACCCCCCCCCAACCCUCACCCAUCUCAUUGACAAGGCUCAGACCAUGGGAGCCUUGUCAGGUAUUUCUAUGAAACGAUAUUGAUGGGAAAAUGAGAGCAUUUGGUCACUUCGAGAACUACCAACCCCUGAACCAGCCCCCUACCCGCUUUCUCUCCCACCAACGCACACUGCACAACUCCCCGAAGCCCUGCUGAACCUACUUAGGCAGUGCCUGCCUGGCCUGGAGACCUCAGUGGGCACACCUGAGGCACUCAUCUUUCAAAAAGAACCUAAGUCUUCUCAUGUUCUAACCUCUCCCUGCCCCACUCUUCCCAGAUCCAUAAUCAGAGGCAGAUUUCAACUGCACUGGGAGUCAAACAAAGAGUCAAGCCCGAGAGAAAAAGGCUUACACACCAA
rnacentral:lncRNA from 1 species